CGUAGGGUGCAAGCGUUAUCCGGAAUCACCGGGCGUAAAGCGUGCGUAGGCGGAAGCUUAAGUGAGGUGUUAAAUCGCGUGGCUCAACCAUAUCGAUGCAUCUCAUACUGGGCUUCUAGAGGAUGGCAGAGGCAAGUGGAAUUGGUAGUGUAGCAGUGAAAUGCGUAGAUAUUACCAGGAACACCAAUGGCGAAGGCAGCUUGCUGGGCCACACCUGACGCUGAGGUACGAAAGCGUGGGGAGCGAACAGGAUUAGAUACCCUGGUAGUCCACGCCGUAAACGAUGCAUACUAGACGUAUGGGGUAUCGACCCCCUGUGCGUCGAAGCUAACGCGAUAAGUAUGCCGCCUGGGAAGUACGGCCGCAAGGCUA
rnacentral:rRNA from 1 species